UACGUAGGGGGCAAGCGUUGUCCGGAUUUAUUGGGCGUAAAGAGCGUGUAGGCGGUUUGGUAGGUCCGCUGUGAAAAACUCGAGGCUCAACCUCGAGACGCCGGUGGAAAACCAUCAGACUAGAGUCCGGAAGAGGAGAGUGGAAUUCCUGGUGUAGCGGUGAAAUGCGCAGAUAUCAGGAGGAACACCGGUGGCGAAGGCGGGACUCUGGGCCGAUACUGACGCUGGAGGAAGCGAAAAGCGUGGGGGAGCAAACAGG
rnacentral:rRNA from 1 species